GUGCUGGGUAGGUUUGCUCAGGCUGAGUUUCUCUGUGUGGAGUUGCUUCUUCCAGCUCCCUGAGGAUGACCUGGAGUACUCGGCUGAACUGGAAGCUCAGGGGUUUUACUAAGCCUCUCUAGCAGUCUGAUGCACCUUCAGAGAGACCACAUGCCUCAUCUUAAGACCACUAAACUACAGAGAUGGCAACAAGAGAGAAAUACUAUAUUCCAGCUGGAUAAUCACCAAGCAGUCUGAUUCACUUACUCUAAUGUUCCCAGUCAGAUCCUGGCAGUGAAAUAAGCAUGUAGGAGGAUGCAAACAGAUUAGUUUUAAUUAAAAUAAUAAAAAGUCUGAAGCCAUGGACCUCAGAUUUGAGCUCCUCUUAUUUUUUUUUCAUGAGGAAGAAUAUCUGAUCAAAUCUAACCCUGAGCCUAUUCUUCAGGAUUUUUUUGGUCUGAUUUUAAUUCAGACCUGCUUCCACAAAUCUAUGCUGCAAAUGCUCACCACUUUGUUAAUAAAGACCCACAGCUCAUUUUUUAAACUCCUCAGCU